GUGUCUAUUGAAAGGAGAGACGGUUAGCACUCCCCUUGACAAGGAUGGAACACAUAAUCUGGUCUUGGCACUUCAAUGACCAGCCAUUUUUU
rnacentral:ncRNA from 1 species